rfam:Apaloderma vittatum contig2630, whole genome shotgun sequence.
GGUCGGUUAGCUCAGUCAGUUGAGUGUAGCGCUAGCAACGCUAAGGUCGUGGGUUCGAUUCCCAUUCAGUCCU